rnacentral:rRNA from 1 species
AACGAACGCUGGCGGCAGGCCUAACACAUGCAAGUCGAGCGCGCCCUUCUGGUUGAGCGGCGGACGGGUGAGUAACGCGUGGGAACGUGCCCUUUUCUACGGAAUCGCCUCGGGCAACUGAGAGUAAUACCGUUUCCGCCCUUUGGGGGUAAGAUUUAUCGGAAAAGGAUCGGCCCGCGUUGGAUUAGGUAGUUGGUGGGGUAAUGGCCUACCAAGCCGUCGAUCCAUAGCUGGUUUGAGAGGAUGAUCAGCCACACUGGGACUGAGACACGGCCCAGACUCCUACGGGAGGAAGCAGUGGGGAAUCUUAGACAAUGGGGGCAACCCUGAUCUAGCCAUGACGCGUGAGUGAUGAAGGCCUUAGGGUUGUAAAGCUCUUUCAGCUGGGAAGAUAAUGACGGUACCAUCAGAAGAAGCCACGGCUAACUCCGUG